AAGGGAGGAACAGAUCUGCCUGCCUUCACCCCCUACCAUCCCAAGCUGGGGCAGGCUCCAGAAAGGAAGGGCUGGUAUUAAGGAGCAGGUAUUGUCACUGGGGCCUGUGACCUGCAUUCCAGGGCUGGUAUUACCUCAGAGGUGCCCCUCAGCCCUGGGCCUCCAGAAUCAGGUCUAUGGAAUUGUGAAACUUCCUGGUUUCGUGAGAUGGAGGUGGCCGCAGAAGAAAACAUUUUUAUCAAGUACUCACCAUGUUCCUGGCACCAUGUUCCUGGCAUAGGACGGCUAGGCUCUUUCCACCUGUUAGUUCACUGAAUCCUCAAAACACCAAGCUGAAAACUACCCGAUACAGACCAGCUCCAAUCCCUGCCAUGCCCUGAUGGCUCCCAGGACACCCUAACCCAUGCUGACCCUCACUUCUUCAGUGUCCUAACACAUCUGCUCCAUCUGCUUUACCUUGAGAUGUCCUUUGAUUUAUUUCUCUCUAUAUUCUCUUGGCUUUUAACCUGUAAUAUCCUGUUCUGCUAACUAAAUUAUAAACUCCCUGAAGGGAGAGGGCAUGCCUUAC